CAAGAUAUAGCUUAAAGAAAGCAUCUAGUUUACACCUAGAAGAUUCCAUAUACCAUGAAUAUCUUGA
rnacentral:tRNA from 2 species